rnacentral:rRNA from 1 species
GGAAGUAAAAGUCGUAACAAGGUUUCCGUAGGUGAACCUGCGGAAGGAUCAUUAUCGAGUUUUGAACGGGUUGUAGCUGGCCUCUCACGAGGCAUGUGCACGCCUGGCUCAUCCACUCUUAACCUCUGUGCACUUUAUGUAAGAGAAAAAAAUGGUGGAGGCUUCCAGGAUCUCGCGAGAGGUCUUCGGUUGAACAAGCCGUUUUUCUUUCUUAUGUUUUACUACAAACGCUUCAGUCAUAGAAUGUCAACUGUGUAUAACACAUUUAUAUACAACUUUCAGCAACGGAUCUCUUGGCUCUCGCAUCGAUGAAGAACGCAGCGAAAUGCGAUAAGUAAUGUGAAUUGCAGAAUUCAGUGAAUCAUCGAAUCUUUGAACGCACCUUGCACUCCUUGGUAUUCCGAGGAGUAUGCCUGUUUGAGUCUCAUGGUAUUCUCAACCCCUAAAUUUUUGUAAUGAAGGUUUAGCGGGCUUGGACUUGGAGGUUGUGUCGGCCCUUGUCGGUCGACUCCUCUGAAAUGCAUUAGCGUGAAUCUUACGGAUCGCCUUCAGUGUGAUAAUUAUCUGCGCUGUGGUGUUGAAGUAUUUAUGGUGUUCAUGCUUCGAACCGUCUCCUUGCCGAGACAAUCAUUUGACAAUCUGAGCUCAAAUCAGGUAGGACUACCCGCUGAACUUAAGCAUAUCAAUAAGCGGAGGAAAGGCGA